rnacentral:rRNA from 1 species
AUUGAACGCUGGCGGAAUGCUUUACACAUGCAAGUCGAACGGCAGCACGGACUUCGGUCUGGUGGCGAGUGGCGAACGGGUGAGUAAUGUAUCGGAACGUGCCCAGUCGUGGGGGAUAACGUAGUGAAAAUUACGCUAAUACCGCAUACGAUCUAUGGAUGAAAGCGGGGGAUCGCAAGACCUCGCGCGAUUGGAGCGGCCGAUAUCAGAUUAGGUAGUUGGUGGGGUAAAGGCCCACCAAGCCAACGAUCUGUAGCUGGUCUGAGAGGACGCCCAGCCACACUGGAACUGAGAACAGGUCCAGACUCCUACGGGAGGCAGCAGUGGGGAAUUGUGAACAAUGGGCGAAAGCCUGAUCCAGCCAUUCCGCGUGCAGGAUGAAGGCCCUCGGGUUGUAAACUGCUUUUGUACAGAACGAAAAGGUUUCUACUAAUACUAGGAGCUCAUGACGGUACUGUAAGAAUAAGCACCGGCUAACUACGUGCCAGCCGCCGCCGUAA